rnacentral:rRNA from 1 species
GGGAACAUACCCUUUUCUACGGAAUAGCUCUGGGAAACUGGAAUUAAUACCGUAUACGCCCUACGGGGGAAAGAUUUAUCGGGGAAGGAUUGGCCCGCGUUGGAUUAGCUAGUUGGUGGGGUAAAGGCCUACCAAGGCGACGAUCCAUAGCUGGUCUGAGAGGAUGAUCAGCCACAUUGGGACUGAGACACGGCCCAAACUCCUACGGGAGGCAGCAGUGGGGAAUAUUGGACAAUGGGCGCAAGCCUGAUCCAGCCAUGCCGCGUGAGUGAUGAAGGCCUUAGGGUUGUAAAGCUCUUUCACCGAUGAAGAUAAUGACGGUAGUCGGAGAAGAAGCCCCGGCUAACUUCGUGCCAGCAGCCGCGGUAAUACGAAGGGGGCUAGCGUCGUUCGGAAUUACUGGGCGUAAAGCGCACGUAGGCGGAUAUUUAAGUCAGGGGUGAAAUCCCAGAGCUCAACUCUGGAACUGCCUUUGAUACUGGGUAUCUUGAGUAUGGAAGAGGUAAGUGGAAUUGCGAGU